rnacentral:snoRNA from 1 species
ACGCCUUGUGCCUCGCUCGGUUUAAUUUGAUUUAUUUAAUUAAAUCUUGAGCUGGAUACUUCUUUGUUUGUUUUCAAACGUUGAAAGUAAUGGGCAAUAGCGAGUUUGUUAUUUUAUUAACAAAUAAAAGAUUUCCUUUGAGUGCGAUGACAUCAAGGUUUUUAUUGAACUGGAUGGUGGCAUUGUAAUUAUAAAUCUUUACAUUC